rnacentral:rRNA from 1 species
AACGAACGCUGGCGGCAUGCCUAACACAUGCAAGUCGAACGAAACCUUCGGGUCUAGUGGCGCACGGGUGCGUAACGCGUGGGAACCUGCCCUUAGGUUCGGAAUAACUCCCCGAAAGGGGUGCUAAUACCGGAUAAUGUCUUCGGACCAAAGAUUUAUUGCCUUUGGAUGGGCCCUCGUUGGAUUAGCUAGUUGGUAGGGUAAAAGCCUACCAAGGCGACGAUCCAUAGCUGGUCUGAGAGGAUGAUCAGCCACACUGGGACUGAGACACGGCCCAGAAUCCUACGGAAGGGAGCAGUGGGGAAUAUUGGACCAUGGGCGAAAGGCUGAUCCAGCAAUGCCGGGUGAGUGAUGAAGGCCUUAGGGUUGUAAAGCUCUUUUACCCGGGAUGAUAAUGACAGUACCGGGAGAAUAAGCUCCGGCUAACUACGUG